UACGGAGGGUGCAAACGUUGCUCGGAAUCACUGGGCGUAAAGCGCACGUAGGCGGCUUCUUAAGUCAGGGGUGAAAUCCUGGAGCUCAACUCCAGAACUGCCUUUGAUACUGAGGAGCUUGAGUCCGGGAGAGGUGAGUGGAACUGCGAGUGUAGAGGUGAAAUUCGUAGAUAUUCGCAAGAACACCAGUGGCGAAGGCGGCUCACUGGCCCGGUACUGACGCUGAGGUGCGAAAGCGUGGGGAGCAAACAGG
rnacentral:rRNA from 1 species